UUAGAAAGAAACUCAACAUGAGGAAAUCCACUGUUUUAGGUGUGAAUCGUGAAGACUUAACCCCUUUCUUUUAAAAGGAAAUUUCGACACCGGCAGCUGCACUAAACUUGUUAAAAUCGAGAUGGUCCGAUAAAGAGGGUAGUGAGGAAACUGUUAUCAACCGAUUUAGGAUUUACCUGAUAGCUUGAUUAUAGCUAGGGCUAGGAAUGUGGUUUCCAAUCUGGAUGAAUCAGAGAUUGUAUAUGAGGACAUAACGUCUUAGAAGCUUUCAGAUCUUGAAAUGGGCAUGGAUAGGGUGAGCCCUAAGGCAAGGAGUUCGAGUCAUCGAGAAGAUCUGGGGAUGAGAAAUGUUUUCCCUCAGAUGGGUGGACUUAUUGGUCUACAACAGGGGAUACGAGGUGGAAGGGGUGGAAGAGGUGUUAGGCAACAAACUGGGUUCUUGGUAAAUCAAAGCGAGCAAGGGAAGGGUAAUGAUGCUGCCAACUCUAUCCCAGUGGCGAACCCAGUUGUGCUGGAGAAGAAGACCUGGGCCUCGGUGGUAGCUACAAAUCAGAGAUCUGCUGUGAAACAAAGAUUAUUUCUGUGGCUACAAUUCCACAAUUCAUGCGUCAAUCAUUGAACGAUAAUACUACAGCUGACAAAAGUGACUAUCUUUGGUAUUCACUAAGCACUAAUAUUCAAGGUGGGUCCCAAACAGUUCUUCAUGUGGAAUCACUUGGCCAUGCCCUUCAUGGUUUUAUUGGAAUCACUUGGCCAUGCCCAUUUUGCAAUUCAUAUUUUCUUGGAUUGUAACUACUUUUUUUUUUUUUUCAAUCAGUUACUUCAGCAAGAAGGUGUUCCUUAAUUACUAAUAUUGUAGACUUGAGUUAUCCUUCUCUAGUUGAACAUUUAAAUAUGGCAUAUCAAUUGCAUAUGAAAUUCAAGUACCCUUAAUUUUUUUUUUUUUAAAAAACAAAAUAAAAUGAUUCAAUGAAUUUUACAAGUCGUGAUAAGAUUAAAAAAAUGUAUUGCUUCCCUAUCGUAUCUAAGCAUCAUAGGUAAAUACAGGUUUUUAACUUUGUAAUGAACUUGAUGUUUUACUUCUACUUUAUGAUCGGACUUUCUAUCCUAACUCAUCUUGCUUAUUUACUAAGUCCAUGGUUUUCAUCAAAAUUUAGUAUUAUAAAAUUGGCUGAUUGCUUUUG